rnacentral:misc_RNA from 1 species
UGAAACAAAUAUUGACUCUCGCAACAACUUUAACAACCUCGUCACUCUCGUCGUCAUCCAGGCAGAUAUCAACAACUGCAGUCAUGAAUUCUGGUCAAACGAAAAGUGAAUGUACAAUUUCUGAAAUCUUCUGUCAUGGACGACUACUACAUACAAUACAAAUGGCUCAAUUAUACCCCGACUCGAAAACUUUCGUUGACAUGAAACUAAAAGAUACGCCUGCACAAACACUAAAGGCUUUUGACGAUAUGAUGGCUGCGAAAAAUAAUACGCCCUCCAAAGAUGACUUGAAACAAUUCGUAGAGGACAAUUUCGAAAAAUCAGGCACAGAAUUUGAAGACUGGGACCCAUCAGACUGGAAAGAGAAUCCAAAAUUCCUCCAACUUGUCUACAAUUCCGAACUACGGUCUUGGGGUAGUAAUCUAAAUCACCUUUGGAAGAUGUUAGGUCGUAAAAUGAUCAAAGAUGUAGCGUUGCAUCCCGAGUUAUAUUCUAUUAUCUACGUGGAGAAUCCUGUAAUCGUACCAGGCGGAAGAUUCAAGGAAUUUUACUACUGGGACUCAUACUGGAUCGUUCGCGGUCUCCUCUACUCGGAAAUGUACACUACCACUCGUGGCAUGCUCAGCAAUUUCUUAUCAAUCGUUGAACGAUUCGGAUUCAUCCCUAAUGGAGGACGCGUCUACUAUUCCAAACGGUCACAACCACCGCUAUUAGCUGCGAUGAUCCAAUCAUACAUUGAAUUCACUGGCGAUGAUGAGUUCGCUAUCAAAAGUGUUGAUAUACUUGAACACGAGUUCGAGUUUUGGAUGAACAAUCACACGCAUGAAAUCAACGGACAUAUUUUAGCAGCAUAUGGAGAUGCUUCUACUGGCCCCCGGCCGGAGUCCUACAGCGAGGAUGUUAAAACAGCGGAAAUUUUCGAGACUGACGCAGAAAAGGAAGAAUGCUACUCCGAAUUGAAAGCAGCCGCAGAAUCUGGUAUGGACUUUUCCAGUCGAUGGUUUAUUGUUGCGGAUGGAUCGAAUAACGGUACACUAAAAGACCUCAAGACUCGAUCGAUAAUUCCAGUCGAGCUGAACGCCAUUCUCUUUUGGAAUGCCAAAAUUAUCGCUGGAAUUCAUUCGAAAAGUGGGAAUAUCGAAAAAGCCAACCAAUAUGAGACUAAAGCUCAAGAAAUUUAUAGAGCUAUUCAAGCUGUUCUUUGGGAUGAAGACGUUGGUGCUUGGCUAGAUUAUGAUAUGAUCAACAACAAGAGAAGAAACUAUUUUGUUCCCACCAAUCUAGCACCGCUUUGGAUGAAAUGUUACAACAUUUCUGAUACAGAACACAUUGCUUCGCGUGUCCUUAAAUAUAUCAAUGACACAGGGAUUGAUCAAUAUCCUGGUGGAGUACCAAAUACUCUAUCGAAGACUGGCGAACAAUGGGACUUCCCCAACGUAUGGCCACCAAUGCAAUAUCUCCUCAUUGAAGGCCUGGAAAAAUUGGGAACAAAAGAAACUAAAGAAUUGGCUUACAAAUGGGCUGAAAGAUGGACAUUGUCAAAUUACAAGGCAUUCAAAGACACCACACACAUGUUUGAAAAGUACGACGCUGAAGAGUUCGGAGGACAUGGCAAAGGUGGAGAAUAUGAAGUUCAAUUAGGAUUCGGAUGGUCGAACGGAGUAGUCAUCGAAUUUUUGGCGAAAUACGGAGAUAAAUUACGUGUUGCAGGUCAGGAUACUGAUGAUCAGAACGAAAUCAUUAUAAUCCAAUCGGAUCCGUCCUUGCCCGAAUACCGUGUAUUGUGAUAAUGUGCAGUGUUCAGUAUUUGUAUUGUCAAUGUCUCAAUUCAUUUGCACUUCACUUUUACGUAUAUUUAAAUUAUACAUAAGCUUUAUUCCAAAAUCAAUUUUGUGUUUUGUGGUGUCUGUCAUUUGUCUACCGUUUGUCAUUGUGUUUGUCAUAAGUUUGCAGCUUGUUUGUCCACGUCUACAUUAUAGCGCUAGGAGGUUCGGGGGUAGGGUUAAAAACAUUCUUUUUCGGUGGAGCAGCAACUGCAGUGUUAGCGGUGUUAGCUACUAUAUUGGGAAGAUCGUUGUGGUGAGAGUGUUGAUAUUCGAAGCAUGUUAAGGUUUUUUUGUGAUCUGCUGAGCAGUAAGAGUGCAUAUUUAUAAUAAUAAAACCCAAGCCAAAAGAUAUUUUCAACUAGAAGUGUUUCUAAUCAAUUAACAUGCCGAAUUCAGCGGAAGCUCAUCUUGACAAUAAACACCAACACAAAAACAUGUGUACAAACAGACUAUACAUUGACCAGAUUAAGUAUAUUCAUAGAUGACUAGCUUUCCAACCGGAAACUGAUGAUUUGUUACCUAAACUUGAUUAACGUGAAUUCAGUUUUUCUCGCAACCUUUACUAUUACAAAAUUAAGGAUAAGUUAGACUGUCCAAACGCCCAGAACAGUCUUACAUAUAUACAAUUCUAUGUAUCAGAACGCGUGAUAAAACUUUGUUUACUAAUAUUUAUCAUAAGAAAUCGACGUAUUGUUUUUACACCCUCAACUGCGUGUGCUCUAGGAUGCAUAAAAUAUGUGAUGGGCAGUAUCAGUAUUUUUAACACUUUUACCUAAUAAUGUAUUUGAACGACAAUGAAUUUAUUCGAGCAUUAGUCCUGAUAGUCAUUACAGUAGUGAUAUUUUUCGGUACUGCUUUUGUUUUUCCUAUAAUCCUGUGGACAGUUUUUCGUUUAAUCGUACACUUAAACUAGUUCAAUUGUUUUCCUUAUUUUUUGUAUUUAUAUCAAAGUUUUGCUUUGGUUUGAUUUGUUUGCACGAAAGUGUGUUUUUAGUAACCAUUUAGGAAUGAUAUUUGAACAGUAAAGUUUAUAAAACCUCUUUGGUGCUGUUACUAAAGUAAAUCUAAUAUUUUGCAUACAGGAAAUGGUGGAGGAAGUAAUUAUAAUGAUGACAAGACAGGAAUGUCUGCACGCGAAUGUAUGUACAAAGUUAUUUUUACUUUAUGCUAUAUGUACCGUAUUGAUAAGUAUUUAAAAUGAUAAAUAAAAAGUAUUUGCUGGCAAA